CGUAGGUGGCAAGCGUUGUCCGGAAUUAUUGGGCGUAAAGCGCGCGCAGGCGGUCCUUUAAGUCUGAUGUGAAAGCCCACGGCUCAACCGUGGAGGGUCAUUGGAAACUGGGGGACUUGAGUACAGAAGAGAAGAGUGGAAUUCCACGUGUAGCGGUGAAAUGCGUAGAGAUGUGGAGGAACACCAGUGGCGAAGGCGACUCUUUGGUCUGUAACUGACGCUGAGGCGCGAGAGCGUGGGGAGCAAACAGGAUUAGAUACCCUGGUAGUCCACGCUGUAAACGAUGAGUGCUAAGUGUUAGAGGGUUUCCGCCCUUUAGUGCUGCAGCUAACGCAUUAAGCACUCCGCCUGGGGAGUACGGCCGCAAGGCUG
rnacentral:rRNA from 1 species